GAUGAACGCUGGCGGCGUGCCUAAUACAUGCAAGUCGAACGAACGGACGAGAAGCUUGCUUCUCUGAUGUUAGCGGCGGACGGGUGAGUAACACGUGGAUAACCUACCUAUAAGACUGGGAUAACUUCGGGAAACCGGAGCUAAUACCGGAUAAUAUUUUGAACCGCAUGGUUCAAAAGUGAAAGACGGUCUUGCUGUCACUUAUAGAUGGAUCCGCGCUGCAUUAGCUAGUUGGUAAGGUAACGGCUUACCAAGGCAACGAUGCAUAGCCGACCUGAGAGGGUGAUCGGCCAAACUGGAACUGAGACACGGUCCAGACUCCUACGGGAGGCAGCAGUAGGGAAUCUUCCGCAAUGGGCGAAAGCCUGACGGAGCAACGCCGCGUGAGUGAUGAAGGUCUUCGGAUCGUAAAACUCUGUUAUUAGGGAAGAACAUAUGUGUAAGUAACUGUGCACAUCUUGACGGUACCUAAUCAGAAAGCCACGGCUAACUACGUG
rnacentral:rRNA from 1 species